rnacentral:rRNA from 1 species
UGUGAUGGGGAGCGAAAUUUAGUAGCGAAGUAGCUGAUUUCACACUGUCAAGAAAAGUCUCUAUCGAGGUUAAAGGUACCCGUACCGCAAACCGACACAGGUGGGUGAGGAGAGUAUCCUAAGGCCAGCGAGAGAACUGUUGUUAAGGAACUCGGCAAAAGGACCCCGUAACUUAGGGAUAAGGGGUGCCACCAUCAGGUGGCCGCAGAGAAUAGGCCCAAGCGACUGUUUACCAAAAACAUAGGUUUCUGCUAAGUCGCAAGACGAUGUAUAGGAGCUGACGCCUGCCCGGUGCUGGAAGGUUAAGGGGA